rnacentral:rRNA from 1 species
UUCUUAUAGAAUGAAUUGUAAGUAACACCUGCUCAAUGAAAUUAAAUAGCUGCGGGAGACUGUACUAAGGUAGCAUAAUCAUUAGUUUAUUAAUUGUAAACUGGAAUGAAGGGUGAAAUGGAUGAAAAUAUUUAUUUUUUAGAUAAAUUAAAAUUAAGCUUUUAGUAAUAACGCUAAAAUAUUAUUUAGGGACGAGAAGACCCUAUAAAGCUUAAGAGCUUUUCUUAUUUUAAGAAAUAGUUAAGGUUUUUUUGUUGGGGAAAUAAAGUAAGAUGUAAUUUUACUUUAGAGCCAAAAUUUUUGAUUAUAAGAAGAAGUUACUUUAGGGAUAACAGCAUAAUAAGAGAAAUAGAGUUCUAAUCUGUUUUUUUGAUUGUGACCUCGAUGUUGGAUUAAUAGAGUCCUUUAGGAGAAGCUACUU